rnacentral:rRNA from 1 species
AUGUACCUAUCCCACGAUGAUGCAUGGUGGACUGUUGACCGUUUCGAGGACAACCACAAUCACCCCCUGAUCAAAAAGCCAUCCCUAACAAAAUUCUUAUCAUCACAUCGGUACAUUCUGAAGGAGGAGCAUGACUUCUUGAGGGUUCUGCACGGAUGCAACGUUGAGACUGCGAGGCAGAUGCAGCUGAAAUCAUGGUUCUACGCAAGCGCUCAAGACGUACCCUACAUGACACAAGACAUUGCUAAUCAACGAGCUAAGUUCCUCUUAGAGCACCGCCACAGCACAAUUGCGUACUUCCAAAAGAUGAGGGCCAUAGAUUCAUAUUUCUACUGGAGAAUCAAACUUGAUGAUGAGGACAGGGUUGAGAACUUGCUCUGGAUAGAUGGCGCAUCACGCAGGGCAAAUGCAAAGUAUAAUGACUGA